UGUAUAAUGGGUCAGCGACUUAUAUUCUGUAGCAAGGUUAACCGUAUAGGGGAGCCGAAGGGAAACCGAGUCUUAACUGGGCGUUAAGUUGCAGGGUAUAGACCCGAAACCCGGUGAUCUAGCCAUGGGCAGGUUGAAGGUUGGGUAACACUAACUGGAGGACCGAACCGACUAAUGUUGAAAAAUUAGCGGAUGACUUGUGGCUGGGGGUGAAAGGCCAAUCAAACCGGGAGAUAGCUGGUUCUCCCCGAAAGCUAUUUAGGUAGCGCCUCGUGAACUCAUCUUCGGGGGUAGAGCACUGUUUCGGCUAGGGGGCCAUCCCGGCUUACCAACCCGAUGCAAACUACGAAUACCGAAGAAUGUUAUCACGGGAGACACACGGCGGGUGCUAACGUCCGUCGUGAAGAGGGAAACAACCCAGACCGCCAGCUAAGGUCCCAAAGUCAUGGUUAAGUGGGAAACGAUGUGGGAAGGCACAGACAGCCAGGAUGUUGGCUUAGAAGCAGCCAUCAUUUAAAGAAAGCGUAAUAGCUCACUGGUCGAGUCGGCCUGCGCGGAAGAUGUAACGGGGCUAAACCAUGCACCGAAGCUGCGGCAGCGACGCUUAUGCGU
rnacentral:rRNA from 1 species